GGGGCACCAGGAAGCCGUUCUGGGAAGCUCCAGGUGGAUAGUCUGGGACACGAUCCCGGAAAACUGGGAGAAGCAUUCUGAGAAGAGUAGUGCCUGCUGAUGGCGGCCUGUGCGGCCAGGGCGCCCGCUGACAGUGGCCCAAACUUUCUCCAGUUUUGUCCCACCGCUUCCUCCCGCAGCGCUCUGGGAACCCGGAAGGCGGGGGUGCAAGGGCGGCGGCUUCGAGCCCACCAGCUGCCCCCCAGACCGUCUCUUGCCUGCAAGGCACCAGGGCUGACUUAACGAAGAGGUGGGGGGACUUGCAGCCCGUCACUCCCCGCCCGCGGAGUUCAAGGCAUCAGCCAUAUCCCAUGGAACUACCCUACCUUUGGAAUUCUGAAACUGAUGGGGUCCGGUCCACAGCUCCACCCAAGCUCACUCUGGGUGAUGUUAUCUGCCUUGUUGUGAGGACACUGAUGCUACCAUAUGGAGAGACCCAUAUAACAGGAACUGAAACCUCCUGCCUGUGAGUAAGCUGUCUUGGAAAUGGAUUCUCCAGCCCCAGUCAAGCCUUGGAUGACUGCAGGCCCUAUGGACAUUCUGCCUGCAACCUUGUGAGGAACCCCAAGCUAGAGCCACCCAGAUAAGCCACUUCUGACCUACAGAAUGAUAAGAUAAUAAAUAUUAUUUUAAGCAA